AUUUCUGUAGUUCACAGGCCUGAUGACUGAGUGUUCCUGCGCUUCUGUGAGAUGCGUCUCCCUCACACCUUAUUACGAUAUUAGCAUGUUGCCAUUCUGACG